AGGAUGAACGCUGGCGGUCUGCUUAACACAUGCAAGUCGAACGGAGUAGCAAUACUUAGUGGCGGACGGGUGAGUAACGCGUGAGAAUCUACCUUCAGGACGGAGACAACAGUUGGAAACGACUGCUAACCCCCGAUGUACCGAAAGGGCAAAUAUUUAUAGCCUGAAGAAGAGCUCGCGUCCGAUUAGCUAGUUGGAGAGGUAAAAGCUCACCAAGGCGACGAUCGGUAGCUGGUCUGAGAGGACGAUCAGCCACACUGGGACUGAGACACGGCCCAGACUCCUACGGGAGGCAGCAGUGGGAAUUUUCCGCAAUGGGCGAAAGCCUGACGGAGCGACGCCGCGUGUGGGAAGAAGGCCCUAGGGUCGUAAACCACUGUCGAAGGGGAAGAUAUUGACGGUACCCUUGGAGGAAGCCCCGGCUAACUACGUGCCAGCAGCCGC
rnacentral:rRNA from 1 species